ACGCUGGCGGAAUGCUUUACACAUGCAAGUCGAACGGCAGCACGGAGAGCUUGCUCUCUGGUGGCGAGUGGCGAACGGGUGAGUAAUAUAUCGGAACGUGUCCAAUAAUGGGGGAUAACGAGUCGAAAGAUUCGCUAAUACCGCAUACGCCCUACGGGGGAAAGCAGGGGAUCGUAAGACCUUGCGUUAAUGGAGCGGCCGAUAUCUGAUUAGCUUGUUGGUGAGGUAAAGGCUCACCAAGGCGACGAUCAGUAGCUGGUUUGAGAGAACGACCAGCCACACUGGAACUGAGACACGGUCCAGACUCNUACGGGAGGCAGCAGUGGGGAAUUUUGGACAAUGGGGGCAACCCUGAUCCAGCCAUUCCGCGUGAGUGAAGAAGGCCUUCGGGUUGUAAAGCUCUUUCGCAAGGGAAGAAAACUUAUGAUCGAAUAAAUCAUGAGGUUGACGGUACCUUGAUAAGAAGCACCGGCUAACUACGUGCCAGCAGCCGCGGUAAUACGUAGGGUGCGAGCGUUAAUCGGAAUUACUGGGCGUAAAGCGUGCGCAGGCGGUUUUGUAAGUCGGAUGUGAAAUCCCCGGGCUCAACCUGGGAACUGCGUUCGAAACUGCAAGGCUAGAGUGUGUCANAGGGGGGUAGAAUUCCACGUGUAGCAGUGAAAUGCG
rnacentral:rRNA from 1 species